rnacentral:rRNA from 1 species
GUCCCAGACUCCUACGGGAGGCAGCAGUGGGGAAUAUUGGGCAAUGGGCGCAAGCCUGACCCAGCAACGCCGCGUGAUCGAAUGAAGGCCUUCGGGUUUUAAAGAUCUGUUGACAGGGACGAAUAAGCCAUGCGAAUAGUUUGGUGUAUGACGGUACCUGUUUAGAAAGCUCCGGCUAACUACGUGCCAGCAGCCGCGGUAAUACGUAGGGAGCAAGCGCUGUCCGGAAUUACUGGGCGUAAAGGGCGCGUAGGUGGGUGCUUAAGUCAGGUGUGAAAACUCUGGGCUCAACCUGGAGACUGCACUUGAAACUGGGUAUCUUGAGGGCAGGAGAGGAAAGUGGAAUUCCUAGUGUAGCGGUGAAAUGCGUAGAUAUUAGGAGGAACACCAGUGGCGAAGGCGACUUUCUGGACUGUACCUGACGCUGAGGCGCGAAAGCGUGGGUAGCGAACGGGAUUAGAUACCCGUGUAAA